rnacentral:rRNA from 1 species
AUUGAACGCUGGCGGCAGGCCUAACACAUGCGAGUCGAGCGGAUGAAGGGAGCUUGCUCCUGGAUUCAGCGGCGGACGGGUGAGUAAUGCCUAGGAAUCUGCCUGGUAGUGGGGGAUAACGUCCGGAAACGGGCGCUAAUACCGCAUACGUCCUGAGGCAGAAAGUGGGGGAUCUUCGGACCUCACGCUAUCAGAUGAGCCUAGGUCGGAUUAGCUAGUUGGUGGGGUAAAGGCCUACCAAGGCGACGAUCCGUAACUGGUCUGAGAGGAUGAUCAGUCACACUGGAACUGAGACACGGUCCAGACUCCUAAGGGAGGCAGCAGUGGGGAAUAUUGGACAAUGGGCGAAAGCCUGAUCCAGCCAUGCCGCGUGUGUGAAGAAGGUCUUCGGAUUGUAAAGCACUUUAAGUUGGGAGGAAGGGCAGUAAGUUAAUACCUUGCUGUUUUGACGUUACCAACAGAAUAAGCACCGGCUAACUUCGUG